rnacentral:rRNA from 1 species
CACAGACAGCCAGGAUGUUGGCUUAGAAGCAGCCAUCAUUUAAAGAAAGCGUAAUAGCUCACUGGUCGAGUCGGCCUGCGCGGAAGAUGUAACGGGGCUAAACCAUGCACCGAAGCUGCGGCAGCGGCGCGAAUGCGUUGUUGGGUAGGGGAGCGUUCUGUAAGCCGUCGAAGGUGUGCUGUGAGGCAUGCUGGAGGUAUCAGAAGUGCGAAUGCUGACAUAAGUAACGAUAAAGCGGGUGAAAAGCCCGCUCGCCGGAAGACCAA